rnacentral:rRNA from 1 species
GAUGAACGCUGGCGGCGUGCCUAAUACAUGCAAGUCGAGCGAACAGACGAGGAGCUUGCUCCUCUGACGUUAGCGGCGGACGGGUGAGUAACACGUGGAUAACCUACCUAUAAGACUGGGAUAACUUCGGGAAACCGGAGCUAAUACCGGAUAAUAUAUUGAACCGCAUGGUUCAAUAGUGAAAGACGGUUUUGCUGUCACUUCUAGAUGGAUCCGCGCCGCAUUAGCUAGUUGGUAAGGUAACGGCUUACCAAGGCAACGAUGCGUAGCCGACCUGAGAGGGUGAUCGGCCACACUGGAACUGAGACACGGUCCAGACUCCUACGGGAGGCAGCAGUAGGGAAUCUUCCGCAAUGGGCGAAAGCCUGACGGAGCAACGCCGCGUGAGUGAUGAAGGUCUUCGGAUCGUAAAACUCUGUUAUUAGGGAAGAACAAAUGUGUAAAUAACUAUGCACGUCUUGACGGUACCUAAUCAGAAAGCCACGGCUAACUACGUG